UCGUAGUUGGAUACGAAUAGGCCUCCGGGCCACGAACCUCAGCAGGCUGGCGACGGCUCCCCGGGAGAAGCCCCGGGGAGCUGGCUGGCGGAUUGCAAUGUCACCUCGCGCGGGGAUGAAUCCUCUGCAUACGACUGAAGUGACCAAGCGGGUCGUGUAAGCGGUCAAGUAGCCUUGUUGCUACGAGUCGCUGAGCGUCAGCCCGACCUUGGCUAGAUUU
rnacentral:rRNA from 1 species